GGCUGAGAUUCGCCUUCAUGAAGCCGGAAUUGCUAGUAAUGGCAGGUCAGCAUACUGCCGUGAAUACGUUCCCGGGCCCUUGUACACACCGCCCGUCACACCAUGAGAGUUGGGAAUACCCGAAGCCUGUGAGCUAACGCAAGAGGCAGCAGUCGAAGGUAGAAUCAAUGAUUGGGGUGAAGUCGUAACAAGGUAGC
rnacentral:rRNA from 1 species